ACCUGAAUAUGUUCUAGCAUAGAGUGGCCAAGAUUCCUCAAAGUACCCAUCAUAUUCUGGUCCACAACAUCUCCUUUUGUACUACAGUAAGAAUUGCAAGAUCCAUCAACGGAAGAGCAUAUUGCACUGCUCUGAGUACCAGCAUCAUUGGCAGAUUUUGUAACAUCAAUUGCCCCACUUCCUUUUUCACAUGUCUCCUCGUCAACAUUACUCCGUCCAAACUUCCAAAACCAUUGGAAUUUACCAGAAAGAAGCUUCCGCUCCUUCGGAGCUGUCACAGACUUUUCAGUUGUUUCAUUGUUGCUCCCAGAAAUUAGAGUGGCGUCAUUGGGGAGAUGGGAAACAGGAAGUGUUGCAUCUUCUUGGAUAACCUCAGGAUGAUCAUCUGUUUCAUCAACUGACAAAUUCGAUGCAACACUACUUUUCUCUGAGUCAUUUUCAUGAUUGUUGGCACCACUGAGAGGACUAGAGGGGUCUGAGAAUACAGAUGAGUUUUCCUC
rnacentral:misc_RNA from 1 species